UGUCCUUUUAUUCCUCCUUUGUUGGACUAAUAUUUUCCGAGACUUUGUACUCCAUGUUACUAGUAUACAUGAUGAUAUGUAUCAUGUAUACUAGUAACAUCGAGUACAAAGUCUCGGAAAAUAUUAGUCCAACAAAGGAGGAAUAAAAGGAGAA
rnacentral:miRNA from 1 species